rnacentral:rRNA from 1 species
AGUGAACGCUGGCGGUAGGCCUAACACAUGCAAGUCGAACGGCAGCACAGUAAGAGCUUGCUCUUACGGGUGGCGCGUGGCGGACGGGUGGGGAAUACAUCGGAAUCUACUUUUUCGUGGGGGCUAACGUAGGGAAACUUACGCUAAUACCGCAUACGACCUACGGGUGAAAGCAGGGGAUCUUCGGACCUUGCGCGAUUGAAUGAGCCGAUGUCGGGUUAGCUAGUUGGCGGGGUAACGGCCCACCAAGGCGACGAUCCGUAGCUGGUCUGAGAGGAUGAGCAGCCACACUGGAACUGGUACACGGUCCAGACGCCUCCGGGAGGCAGCAGUGGGGAAUAUGGGAGAAUGGGGGCAAGCCUGAUCCAGCCAUACCGCGUGGGUGAAGAAGGCCUUCUGGUUGUAAAGCCCUUUUGUUGGGAAAGAAAAGCAGCAGGUUAAGACCACGCUGUUCUGACGGUACCCAAAGAAUAAGCACCGGCUAACUUCGUG